CAUGCAUGGCUCUGCACUUUUUGCACUCCCACACCCAGACUUGCUAGCAGGGGUACGGAGGUGAACGUGGUCCUUGCAGAAAUAGGAAGACUUUGGAAGCGUGGGUCAGGUCGAUUUAACCAAGGUGGCUAAGGUUUUUGUUUUUCUGGAAGAGUGAAGCAAGAACAGAAAUUGGGACUAGAGCUCCACAGAAGGUUAUCAGGCCAAUGAGGAGACAUCUAACCUGGCUCCCCUAAGGUCCUGUGUGACUUCUCCGCUGUGAUGGACCAUACCUGGAACUGUGAGCUGAAAGCUGCUUUGGUCUGAGUGCUUUACCGCAACAGCAGGAAACAAAAACAAGACAGGAAGUGACAAGUCUAAUAAUCAGGGACAGAGUGUCCUGGGAGGUGGAGGGCAAGCCCUUUGAUAGGGAGGAGGCCGGAGAAGGGAAGGUCGGGAAUGCUGAGUUUUGAUUGCUAGUUGCCGACGUCCAUUUCUUCACCAUAAAAAGCCUGGGACUUUAUUUCCUAAAACUGUUUGCCGGUCAAGUUUCCACAAUCAACAGAUGCCUCCCAGAGGUUCUGAAGGAGGAAUGAAAUAACACUAUGAUUUUUCCAUCAGGACAGUUGGACCUGACCCUCAGCUUCAGAGAGGGUCACAGAUCUGCCUAGCCCAUCCCCCUAAGUUGAGUCUGAGGAGUUUCCUGCCUUUCUGGCAACUUCCUAACUCCCUGGAAGCUGGUGACAGAUUUAAAAGGUACAGGUGCUUGGCUGACGUCUGUUAAGUCCUUCCAGUGGAUCUCUCCGGAUCUGAAACCCUGUGUUAAAUACUUCUGCGCCUGAGAAACCUUCUGGGGUAACCCUCUCUGUUGAAUGGUUAGAUUCCACUUUGAAUUGCUCUUCCCCCAGAGUCCUGCUUUUCAUCCUUCUGCUCUGAGCUUCCUAAGGGCUGUUCUGGUCUGAGGGUGAAUAAAAACCGUAGACGUUUUGCUAUGGAUAGGAACUUGAAGACGGCAUCACAGGGAUGGCUUAUUCGUGGUCCAUCCAGUAUCUCUGGCCUCAGCCUACAUGACUUGGACGGCUUAGAUUCUCAGACGGAAUCCUCUGGACACAUCCUAACUCCCAUGCUCGGUGUCUAAGCCAGAGUUGUUCAGAUUCUGGCUCUGUUGCUGUUGCUGUUAUCUGGCACACACGGUCUCCCUGUGGAAUUGAGGCUUCCUUCCAACAUGGUAGCCCAAAGGCAGGCAGUUUUUCCUUCUGGGGGUGGAAACCCCAGGCUUCUAUGCCAGGCUCCAUUGUGAUAAACGUGCACUGCUUUUUA